GUCGGACGGGAUUGAGGAGCUUGCUUCUCAUGAGAGUGGCGCACGGGUGCGUAACACGUAUGUAACCUACCUUGUUCAGGGGGAUAGCCUCUCGAAAGAGAGAUUAACACCGCAUAAAAUCAAUUUAUGGCAUCAUAGAAUGAUCAAAUAUUUAUAGGAACAAGAUGGGCAUGCGGAACAUUAGCUAGUUGGUAAGGUAACGGCUUACCAAGGCUACGAUGUUUAGGGGAUCUGAGAGGAUGACCCCCCACACUGGUACUGAGACACGGACCAGACUCCUACGGGAGGCAGCAGUAAGGAAUAUUGGUCAAUGGACGCAAGUCUGAACCAGCCAUGCCGCGUGCAGGAAGACGGCCCUACGGGUUGUAAACUGCUUUUGUACCGGAAUAAACCUUUUCACGUGUGAGAAGCUGAAUGUACGGUAAGAAUAAGGAUCGGCUAACUCCGUGCCAGCAGCCGCGGUAAUACGGAGGAUCCAAGCGUUAUCCGGAUUUAUUGGGUUUAAAGGGUGCGUAGGUGGCCUAUUAAGUCAGGGGUGAAAGACGGCAGCUUAACUAUCGCAGUGCCUUUGAUACUGAUGGGCUUGAAUACACUUGAGGUAGGCGGAAUGUGACAAGUAGCGGUGAAAUGCAUAGAUAUGUCACAGAACACCAAUUGCGAAGGCAGCUUACUAAAGUGUUAUUGACACUGAGGCACGAAAGCGUGGGGAUCAAACAGGAUUAGAUACCCUGGUAGUCCRCGCCCUAAACGAUGAAUACUCGAUGUUGGCGAUAUACGGUCAGCGUCUAAGCGAAAGCGUUAAGUAUUCCACCUGGGGAGUACGCCCGCAAGGGUGAAACUCA
rnacentral:rRNA from 1 species